AUGGUCCGGCGCCCCCGCCCUUCCCGUUCGCUGCCGACUUUUCGCCGUCACCGUCGCCGUCGCCGCAAUCCCAAUACUCGCCCUUCUGCCUCAGCGAUGACGGCCUCCCAAUCGCUGCCGCAGCAGGACGCGGGUGCGGUCCUCCUUCCUGACCAGGAGGUCCUGAUCCUGGACGAUGCAGAGCCUGAGCCUACCGGCGACGCCACCUGCGCCUUCCAGGGUGGGGCGUCCUCCCUGGCGAGACCGCUCGGGAGGCUGCCGGCGUCUAGGCUUCACGCAUACGUCUGUCGCCUUCCCGAGCCAGUGCAGAGCUUCCAGCAGCUCCAAGCACCGCUCUUACUCCACUCCUCCACCUCGUCGGCUGCUGCAGCUGGCCGCGCAUUGCUUAAAUGGAGCAGCGACCCGAUAGUGUUCGACUCGGCUCUUCUGGACGGGGGCAAUGUGCUCGUCUUUGCAAAGGGAGUCAGCCGCCGCCAAGAUCUUCAGUGCGUGUAUCGCUACAGUGACGGCGCCGAUACCAUGCUGGCAUCUUCACCAGCAAUCACCUCAGUACAACAAGUUACUCGCUGCCCCUCGCCGCCGACGCCUAUCAAGUUAGGAGGAAGCACCAAGGUUCUUAUCACACUAGGGGUCACUCGCGAGGAUCCCAUGCCCUCCCUUGCAACCUUUCGUCAACAGAAAGCCGGAUCUUCUUCGGCGACUCCUCAAAAAAGUUCAAUUUGCACCUGCACAAUGGGACGCAACAUCUCCAAGUUUCUUAGGGAGUGGGCACUGUACUAUAAUGCGAUUGGGGUGGAUCAGUUCUUUAUCUACGAUAAUGGCAGCGAAGACAACUUGGCAGGCCUAGUGGCACAGCUCAUAUCCGCAGGGCUCAACAUCACUACCAUACCAUGGCCCUAGACCAAGACCCAGGAAGCUGGUCUGUCUCAUUGCGUGGCCACACAUCAAGGUUCGUGCCAAUGGAUGGCUCUCAUGGACGUGGAUGAGUUCAUCUUCUCAACAAGCUGGGUAGGAUUAGAGAUGCCGUCAAAAUCUCUGCUAGAGCCCGUCAUUUCUGUUGAUGAUAGCGUUGGCCAAAUAUACCUCGCGUGUUAUGAUUUUUCCCCCUUGGGCCAAACAUCACAUCCACCAGAGGUGGUCUACCAGGGCUACACGUGCCGGUUGAAGAACCCGCAGCGGUACAAAUCCUUGGUCCGUCUUGACGCUAUGGAACCAUCCUUCAUGAAUGUGGUGCAUCAUUUUAAGCUCAAGCCUGGGUUCAAAAGCAUCUGGACCGCGUUCGCACGUGUUAACCACUACAAAUACCAAGCUUGGUUGGAGUUCAAAGUCAAGUUCAAGAGGCACGUGUCUGCUUAUGUGGCUGAUUGGAAAGAUCCGAUCAACCUCUACUCAAAGGACCGGGUUCUUGGCUUAGGAGUUGAUGACGUCGAACCAGAAGGCUGGGCCCAAAAAUACUGCGAGGUUAAAGACAAUAUCCUUCAGCUGUUAACUGCAAGAUGGUUCGGUGUGUUAACCAAUAUUGUUGUCAGCGCAUCAAGGGUAUUGUUAGGAGGUAGGCAGUUAGAUAACUUAUCUCUGUAUUCUAUCUCUAUCUCCUUCCCUUGUAUAUCUCUCCCGUAUGGUUAG
rnacentral:rRNA from 1 species